rnacentral:rRNA from 1 species
GACGAACGCUGGCGGCGUGCCUAAUACAUGCAAGUCGAGCGAGCGGCGGACGGGUGAGUAACACGUAAGGAACCUACCGAUAAGCGGGGGACAACAUCCGGAAACGGGUGAUAAUACCGCAUACUUAUUGAUGGCCUUGGGGUGCAUUAGCGCGUUGGUGGGGUAACGGCCUACCAAGGCAAUGAUGCAUAGCCGACCUGAGAGGGUAAUCAGCCACAUUGGGACUGAGACACGGCCCAGACUCCUACGGGAGGCAGCAGUAGGGAAUCUUCCGCAAUGGGCGCAAGCCUGACGGAGCAACGCCGCGUGAGUGAAGAAGGUUUUCGGAUCGUAAAGCUCUGUUGUAAGAGAAGCGGUAUCUAACCAGAAAGCCACGGCUAACUACGUGCCAGCCGCCGCGGUAAUAC